rnacentral:rRNA from 1 species
CUCAGGUUUAUCGUUGUUGCUUUAUGCAUAUCGAGCGAGAUCUUCGGAUCUAGCGGCGGACGGGUGAGUAACGCGUGGGAACGUGCCCUUUGCUACGGAAUAGUCCCGGGAAACUGGGUUUAAUACCGUAUACGCCCUUCGGGGGAAAGAUUUAUCGGCAAAGGAUCGGCCCGCGUUGGAUUAGGUAGUUGGUGGGGUAAUGGCCUACCAAGCCGACGAUCCAUAGCUGGUUUGAGAGGAUGAUCAGCCACACUGGGACUGAGACACGGCCCAGACUCCUACGGGAGGCAGCAGUGGGGAAUCUUAGACAAUGGGGGCAACCCUGAUCUAGCCAUGCCGCGUGAGUGAUGAAGGCCUUAGGGUUGUAAAGCUCUUUCAGCUGGGAAGAUAAUGACGGUACCAGCAGAAGAAGCCCCGGCUAACUCCGUGCCAGCAGCCGCGGUAAUACGGAGGGGGCUAGCGUUGUUCGGAAUUACUGGGCGUAAAGCGCACGUAGGCGGAUCGGAAAGUUGGGGGUGAAAUCCCGGGGCUCAACCUCGGAACUGCCUCCAAAACUAUCGGUCUUGAGUUCGAGAGAGGUGAGUGGAAUUCCGAGUGUAGAGGUGAAAUUCGUAGAUAUUCGGAGGAACACCAGUGGCGAAGGCGGCUCACUGGCUCGAUACU